UACGAAGGGGGCUAGCGUUGCUCGGAAUCACUGGGCGUAAAGGGUGCGUAGGCGGGUCUUUUAAGUCAGGGGUGAAAUCCUGGAGCUCAACUCCAGAACUGCCUUUGAUACUGAAGAUCUUGAGUUCGGGAGAGGUGAGUGGAACUGCGAGUGUAGAGGUGAAAUUCGUGGAUAUUCGCAAGAACACCAGUGGCGAAGGCGGCUCACUGGCCCGAUACUGACGCUGAGGCACGAAAGCGUGGGGAGCAAACAGGG
rnacentral:rRNA from 1 species